UUCCCAGUAGUUAAGUAGAUAAAGUGAUGGCGUUUGAAGCGAAAGGUACUGGGUUCGAGUCCCAGGGUGGAC
rnacentral:tRNA from 1 species